CGCAGGUGAUGUGAGCGGAUAUUUGCUAUCUGAGCCGCGUGACGACGCGCAGCCACCAAGAUCGCUGAUGCC